GCUGACUAACUCAGGCUUUGGGGACACUUCUGUGUACACUUCCUUCCAUGACCUCUGUCUUCUUCCUUGUGAUAUUUCUGAGGUGGGUGCAAAGCUCUGCGUCUGUGGGGCCUGCCAGCCCUGCCACCGCUUUCUAAGUUCACCAGGGAUGUGUGUGUAUGAGGGGGUGGCCCCUCCUACAGGCAGGUAAAAAUAGCUUUCCUCUCGCUUGCCCUCCUGCCAUGAUGUCCUGCCUCACGACAGGCCCAGAAACAAUGGAGAGGAGACGAGUGACCGUGCAUGGAAACCUCUGAAACUGGAUGGAUUUUGACCCAAUGGAAUAUCCACACUGAAGAAGAGAAAAGAAAAUGUCACCAUUGGCAAUGACAAUUGCAAUGAAACCCUCACUGAAGAUGGACUUCAUACUCAGGAGAGAACUCUACACCUCAUUUCUGUGGCUUCUGGUGCCCUGUAUGUUCAGAGAAACAUCUCUAAUAAUAAAUCAUAGAAAUGGUCCCUGCCAGUACGGGCUUCAGAGUGAGUCUAUUUUUUACCUAGAAGGGAAAUGCCAUCCACCUGAGGCUGUUAACAUGAUGUUUGGCCUUCUCUUAAUUACCGAAGAAAUUAAAUUCCAUAAAAUUUUCUAGCCUCAGAGUUUCACGUGUUGCAAAGGGCAGAGCCUGCAGAGGUCACUCAUUUUGAAUAUUUUUCCUUUAAUUAUUUGUUCAAUGAUAUAAAAAGACUGCUGGCUGAUUGUUUGUUGUUUUUCAAUGAAACUUCUGUGAAAAGAGUCAAGGUAGAAUUUCCUCUCUAUAUUUUGUUUGCUUACUUUCUUCCCACUUCUCUUUGCUCAUCUUGCCAAAACUAACGUUUCUCUAUGGCUUUGGUAUGCUUUAUCCUCUAGCAGGACUUUUGAUCUCUGAAGAUUUAAAGUUUGGAAUAGGCAUUGGUGGCCUUGAGUUUACAAAAAAGCAUUCUUGAUCUCCAUAAUGUCUUGCUUUUUUUGAACAUGACUUCUUUCAUUAAUGUGGUUCCCCUUAUAUAAGAUCCAAUUAUUAAUCAAGUCAAAAGAGUAUUGGGAAAAUAUCUGGUGAAUUUGGGACAGUCCAAGGAGGCUUCCAUAAACAUUUGAGAAGUCUCAAAGCUCUACAUGUAGAACUGGCUUAGGAAUCCAAAUGGGGACCAGAACCAAGGAAAGACCAAUAGUCUCUUCCUUAAAUCUAGUUGGGGUUGGUCUAACAAUUCAUAAGGAACAAUUGUAAUAUUACCUUUUUCCAAGACUGUUAUUCAUUUUUCUUCAGAAAAAGGUAGGUCUCAUUUCCUGGUUAUUGUGCAGCAUCUUAAGCUCAAACCAGUAGGACCAGUGCUCCGGGCUAUUUCCAUGAGGCCAACAUCUGUGUUCUGUUCCACCACCUGGGUUCACAAUUGCCCCCUGCGCUUCAUCCAUUGAUCAUUAGAUGAGUUAAGUCUGUGGAUAAACUGAGCACAUUCACCGCACUUCUGUAAACUUCCCAUGAGGGAAAAUUAUGCUGUUUGAAAGUCUUGAAUUUGUAUUAAGAAUUGCGUGGGUUUUGUUUAAAGAAUUGUAAGAAAACAGGGCCAAACUGAUAAACUAUAAGAGGUCUCACUUUAAAAAAAAAGACAGAAAUAAAUUUACUUUUGUGGAAGUAACACAUUCUGUAGUUUCUGAAAUCCCAGAAUUCCUUUAUUCUAAUUCAAAUGGCUAUUUAUUGGUCAGGGUUCUGAGUUGCAAACAGAAUCCAUUCUGGUUCGUUUAAGCAGGAAAGGGGUUUAUUGAAGAACAUCAAGUAGAUCGUGGGAAAUCAAGAUGGGCCAGAGAGUAGGCUCUGAGCCAUCUGGGAGCAAUGCCUGGCCAUACCACUGGAGAUUCUUGGGAAAAAUUGUCUUUGCCACCAUUGCUUUGCAUCUGGGAGGAAACUUAAGAUGGUAUAAGGAGCUCUGGCAGUGCUGUUCUCAAAGAUCUAGGUGCCUCUACCAUCACACCAAUUCCUUCUCAUGCAGCCAAUUCCUCAGGCUGCUCAUUUCCAAAUCCAAGAGUCUUAUGUGUCAAUUUAAUUUGUGGAAUUGAGGUUACCCUAUCUAAAAGGAACUCCAGGUAUGCAAGAUUUCUAUGUAGCCCUACCCUGGAAUGAUGCAGCUUAUAACUUGGAAUAUCGUCCAAAGGUGUGAUAUCAUAAAAAUUAAAACUAUUUGUGCUUCAAAAAACACGAUCAAGAAAGUGAAAAGACAACCCAUAAAAUGGAAGAAAAACUUUGUAAAUCAUAUAGAUGAUAAGAGACUUGUAUUUUUUUCUGUGUAAAGAAAUCUUAUAACUCAGCAAUGAAAAGACAGAUAAGUGAAUUAAAAAUGGACACAGGAUCAGAAUAGACAUUAUGUAAGAAUACAAAUGGCCAACAAGCAUCAUUAGCCAUAAGAAAAAUGGAAAUCAAAACCACAUUGAGAUGCAAUAAGGUACCCACUAAAAUGGCUGUAAUCAAAAAGAAAAAUAAUAGCAAGUGCUGGUGAGGAUGUGGAAAAAAAUGUAACCCUCAUAAGUUGCUGUUAGAAAUGUGACAUGGUACAGACCCUUUCGAAAACCAAUGGGCAGUUCUGCAAAAGGUUAAGCAUAGAAUUACCUGUUUCCAGGAAAUUCCAUUCUUAGAUAUUUACCCAAGAUAACUGAACCAUGGGGCUGGGGAUGUGGCUCAAGCGGUAGCGCGCUUGCCUGGCAUGCGUGAGGCCUGGGUUCGAUCCUCAGCACCACAUACAAACAAAGAUGUUGUGUCCGACGAAAACUAAAAAAUAAAUAUUAAAAAAAAGAAAACCGAACCAUAAUUCACACAAAAUCUUUCAUAUGAAGGUUUAGAAAACCAUUAUUCAAAAUAGUCAAAAAGUAGAAAUCACCCAAGAGUUCAUCAAUAAUUAAUGGAUAAACAAAAUGUGUGCAUCCAUAUGGUGGAAUAUUAUCUGGUCAUAAAAAGGAAUGAAGUAAGAAUACAUGCUACGAUCUGGAUAAACCUUGAAAAUAUUAUGCCAGGGGAAAGAAGUCAGUUACAAAGGAACUAAAUAUUGUAUGAUUUUAUUUAUAGGAAAUGUCCAGGUAUGAGUUUGCUAGGGUUGCCAUAAUACUACCACAGACUGGGUAAGUAGGUGGCUUAAGCAAUAUAAAUUUAUUUUCUCACAGUUGUGGAGGCUGGAAAUGUGAGAUCAAGGUGUUAGCAGGGUUUGUUUCUUCUGAGACCUCUGUCCUUGGCUCGGAGAUGGCCAUCGGCUCUGUGUCUUCACAUGGGCUUCCUUCAAUAACUCUGCCCAAAUUUCUUCUUCAAUGUUACUACUCAUAUUUGACUACAGCUCAUCCUUUUGAUCUCACUUUCACUUCAUCAACUCCUUAAAGACUAAAGUCACAUUCUGAGGUACUAGGAGUUAGGACUGCAACCUUUGAAUUUCAGGGGGACAUACUUCAGCCCUCAACAGUCAGUAAUAGGCAAAUAUAUAUAUAGAGAAAAUAAAUAGCUUAAUGGUUGGCUGGGCUGGAGGAUGAUGGGGAUUUGGGGAGAUGAUGGCUAAUGGUUCAGAGGUUUCUUAUUGGGGUAAUGAAAAUGUCCUGCUAUUGCCUGUGGUAAUGGCUGCAAAAUUAUUCGAAUAUACUGAAAGCCAUGAUAUUGUACACUUUAAAUGGGUGAAUUGUAUGGUAUAUGAAUUACAUCUUAAUAAAUCUGUUGCCAAAAGAAUAAAAAAAUAAUGAGGAAGUGCCCAAACGAUUAAAGUUUAUUACAGGAAAUUAGUACCAUCCUCAGCUGAGAAAUAAAGAACAAGCCAGGAAAUAACAUCCCACGGUCUCUAUGGAUUAGGCUGAAGUGUUCCUCCUGCAGCCUUAUCCUAAAUCACCUUGACAUGCCCAGUGGGAGCACUGGUGGGGCUGUUUUUGCUAUAAUUCCAAUGUCCUUCUGGAGUCUUAGGGAACAAGGUGAGAUGGCUGUGACUGAUGUCAUCCCUUUAACGUCCAAGAUGAAUGUGGCUGCUCCCAUGAGUGUCCCUUGCCUUGACCAGAGCUCGGAGUGCAACCUGGAGAUCUGUAGAGUGUAGAAGGGGAUCAUCUUCUCAGAGUCACAGUCUUUCUCAGUCCUGGGAUGUGUUUAUUUCUAAGAAAUAGAUUCAACUGAGAAAUAAAAAUGUUUAACUUAGAAACAACAGAGACUGCUCUGGUUGUUCAUUUGGCCUUUUUACAGUAGGAUCCCUUAAUCCCCAUCUGGCCCAUUUGCAUGACUGGGCCUCUUACUUUUCUUCUCCACUGUGGACCUUCCUCAGAUUCUGGUCACUUUUACAUUGACUAAUUUGCUUGUGGUGUUUUGUAUGUUUAUUUUUUUCUUGCUAUAAGUUUAUUUGAGGGCUUAUCAUUGCUCUAAAGAAGUAUGUACAGGAGAAAGUACUUGAUAAUGGGUGGAAAUGGGAGAGAAAGGUCAAUGAAAGCUGCUUUGAGUAUAAUAUUGUGGAUUUUGAGUA